UAAGUGCUUCUUCAGUUCGUGUUUCAUGCUUUUGCUUCAGCCAUAACAGAGCUUCUCUAACUGUUGGGGUUUCAGCAGCAAAUGCAGAAGGGGCGCAGAUCUGUCUUGCAAAACCGUCUAUGAGAAUUCAUACGUUAUUUCUCCAAAUUCUCGCAACCGAUCUCUCCAUAGAGGAGCAACACCAAGAACUGUCCACAUUGAUCUUCGCUGAGAUCCAUUUUUCGAAAAGAUUGGUCAUGAAGAUGGCAUCUUCUAUGAUUACACUUGGGUUGGGCCUUCGUGCUUUGAAGACCAUGGUGUUUCGUGCCUUCCAUAUCAGCCAAAAGGCUCCUGCAAACAUGGAUUUUGUCUGGGGACAAGCACUGGAGGGGCAUAAAGUGAAAACGUGUUUCGUUGAUUCUGGAUCUUGGUCACAUUGAGAGCAUAUCGGAUCAGGAAUUUCUGCAUCCAGCUUUGUGACGUCUUCUGCUGACCGUAAGUCUCCCAUACUUCUGCAUAGUGCCGCCAUCCUAAGAUGGCUCUCGUAAUCCCCUUCCAUAUUGUACCGAAUACAACUCUAAUUAGGGGUUUAAUAAUGGAUGAUGUAUUUGGGGAUGAUGAAUGGAGUAUUCAACUGAGGAGGGUGAGCGACUUUUUGAGUAAUGGUACUUUUGGGGAUAUGGAGUGAGGGAAGCCCUAAAAGGUAGUAUUGCGAUUGAAAUCAGUUAAUCCUUCGAGGUUAUAUCAGCA